rnacentral:lncRNA from 1 species
UAGACUGGCUGAGUCUUCUGGCCUUCAUCUUUCUCCCAUGCUGGAUGCUUCCUGCCCUUGAACAUUGGACUGCAAGUUCUUUAGCUUUUGGACGUUUGGACUUACACCAGUGGUUUGCCAGGGGCUCUCAGACCUUCUGCCACAGACUGAAGGCUGCACUGUCAGCUUCCCUACUUUUGAGGUUUUGGUACUCAGACUGGCUUUCUUGCUCCGCAGCUUGCAGGCGGCGUUAUGGGACUUUACCUUGUGGAUCGUGGUGAUCAUGGAAGCAAAUGUCAGAAGAGCAAAGCAACGUAGAAUGCUCAGCCACCUCAGGAAGAACCCUGGAAAGCCACCUGCAUAUAUUUUUGUGAACAAGUGGUGUCCUAGGACAGAUUUUCAGCUGAAUUCUACAAGAGGUGACAAAGUAGGGCUGGUAUCAUUGAUACUGAAACUAUUCCAAAAAAUUAAAAAGGAGGCACUCCUGCCUAACUCGUUCUAUGAAGCCGGCAUCAUCCUGAUACCAAAACCUGACCGAGGUACAACAAAAAAAGAAAACUUCAAACCAAUAUCUUUGAUGUACAUAGAUGCAAAAUCCUCAAUAAAAUACUGGCAAACGAAAUCCAGCAGCACAUCAAAAAGCUUAUUCACCUCGAUC